UACGGAAUAAUUGUUGGAAACGGCAACUAAUACCGUAUACGCCCUACGGGGGAAAAAUUUAUUGCUAUUAGAUGAGCCUAUAUUAGAUUAGCUAGUUGGUGGAGUAAUAGCCUACCAAGGCAAUGAUCUAUAGCUGAUCUGAGAGGAUGAUCAGCCACACUGGAACUGAGAUACGGUCCAGACUCCUACGGGAGGCAGCAGUGGGGAAUAUUGGACAAUGGGCGAAAGCCUGAUCCAGCCAUGCCGCAUGAGUGAAGAAGGCCUUUGGGUUGUAAAGCUCUUUUAGUGAGGAAGAUAAUGACGGUACUCACAGAAGAAGUCCUGGCUAACUCCGUGCCAGCAGCCGCGGUAAUACGGAGAGGGCUAGCGUUAUUCGGAAUUAUUGGGCGUAAAGGGCGCGUAGGCGGAUUAGUAAGUUAAAAGUGAAAUCCCAAGGCUCAACCUUGGAAUUGCUUUUAAAACUGCUAAUCUAGAGAUUGAAAGAGGAUAGAGGAAUUCCUAGUGUAGAGGUGAAAUUCGUAAAUAUUAGGAGGAACACCAGUGGCGAAGGCGUCUAUCUGGUUCAAAUCUGACGCUGAGGCGCGAAGGCGUGGGGAGCAAACAGGAUUAGAUACCCUGGUAGUCCAC
rnacentral:rRNA from 1 species